AGUAACGCGUAAAGAACUUGCCUCACAGUUAGGGACGACAUUUGGAAACGAAUGCUAAUACCUAAUAUUAUGAUAAUAGGGCAUCCUAUAAUUAUGAAAGCUAUAAGCGCUGUGAGAGAGCUUUGCGUCCCAUUAGCUAGUUGGAGAGGUAACGGCUCACCAAGGCGAUGAUGGGUAGCCGGCCUGAGAGGGUGAUCGGCCACAAGGGGACUGAGACACGGCCCUU
rnacentral:rRNA from 1 species